rnacentral:lncRNA from 1 species
CAACAACCUAUUAUUUUCCUUUUCACCAACUUUUGGCUACUCCCUGAUCACAUUCAGGGUGCAAAAAUGCUAGGAGUGAACAGUUAACCAAUCCCUAUCCUGCACCAGCACAUAUGACAGAACCUAUUUGGAAUUCUUUUACAGGAUGCACUAGCUAAUGCAGAUAAGCUCUGUGGCAUCAAUUCACCCUCCAGAAGAAACCCAAAUAGCAACACAGGAUGAAGGUCAAGGAUUAACUGAUGCUAAUGGAAAUGUUCCCAGUGACCGUCCAGAUAAAAUAUUGUAUCCCAGCUGAUGAGGCCGGCACAUGAUGACAACACUACAAGCACCAAGAAAAUUGAUGCGAUGGCCUGUCUUAAGUUGGCUUCCUCUAUUGGUCUUUUAUCUGACAAGACACCUUUGGCAAAGUCUCAUCAAUAUGCUACUUUUCAUCUGCCUGACACUGAAAUCAAUGGACUGCAGAAGAAGCCUCUCGAUCAGCAUUGUCAGAAAUGAUCACCAUGCUGGACGGAGCAUGCUACCUGAUUUCUGUGAGCACUCAUUCAUUCCUGAAAGCUUUCUCUCAGCUGUUACAAGAGUGACCCUGCUUAGAGGUCAGAGAUAAAGAUGCUCUGCAGUCAGAGGAUGCACGCCUGACUGAACUCCCACAAAAGCAUGGCUGCAAAUCCCAGAGAAAGAAGAAAGAGAACUUACAUAAAGGAGGCUUUCUGGAGAACUCGCUGUAAGAGGGUCAAUGCGGAAAUAUGGAAUGUGCUUAGGAGUCCACUGAAGCAGUCCAGAGGCCACUACCAGCUGUUAGAACAUCCAUCUCCAUCAUGAUCUGAGCAACUGAAAGGAGAGGCUCACCUAAGCUGCCUGAUUGAAGAGAAGAAAUCAGGAGAAGGUUGAAGCAGCAGCCAGGUGGGAGAAAAACCCAUCUUAGCACUGCUGGCAAACCUGGAAACACAGUGAUCCACCAGGUUCAUCGCUGGGUCAUUGGGCAAUCCCCUCUGCCCUGGCACCUUUCACUGCUCUCAUUCAAUCAAUGAACAUGACCAAGUAUCUAUUACACGCAUCAGGUCCCAUGCUAAUUGGGCGGUGGGAAGAGGAUAAGAUAUAAAAGACCCAGUUCUAUAAACUGUCAGCUUUCUGAGAGCUCCAUAUUCCCAGUAUCUAGAACAGUAGAUGGCACACCUUAGCCUCAAGUCAGUAUUUGCUGUUUCAAUUAAGUAACCCUAGUUACUGCCUGGGUAGAAUGGCUUGAUGCCCUGCUUGAGACCAGGAGUUACAGAUUUUAGUUAGAAAACAAGGCUCUUCUCUGCUCUAUUGCCAAUCAGGGGCGAGUUUGUAUCCUCAGAGGGCAGCAGCUGCAUUCCUAGUAUCAUCUUUGCCUCAUCCGCCACUCUGGCACUGCACAAACUGAGCCCCGUGAAGCGCCGCGUUCCCUCUCUCCCUGAAGCGACGCCCCCUUCCUUCUCAGAGGGCCCCCUGAGCUGCGUCCCUCUGCCCCAGAGCUGUGCCUGGCGUCUG